ensembl:lncRNA
GGGCAGUGUUUGUAGGCUGUGUGUGUGUGAGAGAGAGAGAGUUUGUGCUAGUUCAGGGGCUGGUGUGUGGUAGAGAGAGCAGUGUUUGGAGGCUGUGUGUGUGUGUGUGUGAUAUAUGUAUGAAACGCGUAGGAAGGAUGAGUUCGCUCGCUGCGCGCUGUGGAGAGUCUACCUCCUCGGCUGCAGUGAUGAGCAUCAUUAGGGGAUAUUUCUGCCCGUCGGUUCACUCCCAUCUACUCCCACGGGGACUCUGGGGUUUAAAACGGCCGCUUCGUGUGUUGGAGAGCAUUUCUCAGUAUGGACGCACAGGAUGCUGAGGCGAGGAUAAAAGGCGGGGCUGCCAUUGGUCGAGAGCGGUGCUCGCACAGGAAGCUCUGGGCGCUGCUGCUCACUCACACUCUGCUGACAGGCGGCUGCAUCGCCUGCUGCGUCUUCACCCUGCAGAGACCCCCCGACACGCCAGGUGACAGAGGGAUAUACCUUAACUUACGUAACGAUCACAAGAACCAUGGUCCUAAACUCAACUUCACUUUGACAUGGAGUGAGGGUGUGGAGCUGUACCAUGGAAGUGAAUUGAAGGUGCAGUACCCGGGCCCCUACAUCUUCUAUGUCUGUGCGUCACUGUUCGGGGAGAGUCAAGACAGGGGCAAAAGGGCUAACCUGACCCUGCAGCAGGGUGAAAGGAAGACCUCCAUUGAACUCCAGGCAGAUGUUGAAAAUUUAAAUCCGUGUGUGAGACAUGAGAGACUGAUCAGCCUGUAUGAGGAGGAUGUGGUCACCUUCAGCUUUCAUCAACAAGAGGCAGACGGCCUCAAUCUAAAGCUUCUGCGCGUAGGCCUACACUACAUGUUGGGGAAACAGCAUUUCAAAACCCCGGAUUCUUCCGAGUAAUGUAUGGACGGCUAUGCAAUGUGUUUGCUCAGGCUAAAUGAUGAUGAGAUUUUGUCUCACUGUCAAAUGAGUUUAAAUGACAAGCAGCGAACUUACUGAGGUAGAGUUCAGAGUGUGUGAGAAUGUGAUGUUGAAAAUUGCACUGGAUUUAAAGAUACCAAUCUUGUGUGAAUGAACGAAAACACAGAAGCUUUUUUCUACGCUGUAAGGGUUUUUUUUAUGUCAAAGCUCGCAGCUACUGCCUAAUAUAGCACUAUUAGGAAAUCCUGUCUGCCAGACAGGAUCAGUUCUGAGAUGGUACUGUACUUUACCAAUUGUGGCAAUGUAUUAUAUAUAUUUUGGCCAUAUAUGUAUAUCUCAGGGCACUGGGGAAAUGAAAUACUUUAAGAGGGACUCGACUGUACUGUGUAAUGCCACACAAAACCUUACAGUAUUGUAUUUAAAAAAAGACAAGGUAUGUGUGUACAUGUGAUUUGAUACAACAUCUGAUCAUACCCCCUCACUGGAAAAUGAAUGUAAAUGAGUUCUGUUUAAAUGCACUGUCUCGCUCACUUCAUACUUCUCCUGACUUUAAAGAAGUGUACUUGCUAUAAAAAAUUCUAAUGCAACUCAGUAAUGAUGUUUAUGACCCUGUCAUAAAUUACUGUCUUUUUUUUUUUUAUUUAGACUUGCCUCUGAUAACUGACAAGACAGUGUUCUCAAUGUUUAUUUUAUUUUGUAUUUAAAGUAAGAGUAAAGCUUAUGAUAGUAUUAUGAUUCCUUACCAGCAAUUUGAUUGAAAGCUUUGUAGGCUGUAUUUAAGUAAACAAACACUUAUUCAUUCUAAAAUGUCACUAAAUGUAUUUCUCUUUCAGUUACCUUUAAAUGUCUAAAUUGUAUCUGGCAGUGCUUUAUUCACAUGGCAAAAUUUGCACUUUUUGUUGUCGGAGUUUUAUAUGAUGUGUUAUUUUGUGUAAAAUAAAGGUUUUGGAGCUAAAUAUCGAUGGCUUUGU